GCCGACCAAUCAGAGGCAGCUCGGUGCCUCUUUCAGGAAGUUAGAGAGCUGUGCCUGGACGACAUAUGUCAAAAAUAAGAAUGUCCUUAACCGUUUUAAAGUCUGCUUACAGACUGAGGUCCCUCUGCAGACUGCAGCGAAUCCAGGGCCACAUGAUGUCGAGUAAGGGAAGCAGAGGUUCUUCUGGAGAAAGUGGGCAACGCAGGUGUGAUCACCAUAAACAGACCCAAAGUCCUGAAUGCCCUCAACCUGACCAUGAUCCGGCAGAUCUACCCUCAGCUCAAGGUAUG